GAUGAACGCUGGCGGCGUGCCUAAUACAUGCAAGUCGAGCGAACGGACGAGAAGCUUGCUUCUCUGAUGUUAGCGGCGGACGGGUGAGUAACACGUGGAUAACCUACCUAUAAGACUGGGAUAACUUCGGGAAACCGGAGCUAAUACCGGAUAAUAUUUUGAACCGCAUGGUUCAAAAGUGAAAGACGGUCUUGCUGUCACUUAUAGAUGGAUCCGCGCUGCAUUAGCUAGUUGGUAAGGUAACGGCGUACCAAGGCUACGAUGCAUAGCCGACCUGAGAGGGGGAUCGGCAACACUGGAAAUGAGACACGGUCCAGACUCCUACGGGAGGCAGAAGUAGGGAAUCUGCCGCAAUGGGCGAAAGCCUGACGGAGCAACGCCGCGUGAGUGAUGAAGGUCUUCGGAUCGUAAAACUCUGUUAUUAGGGAAGAACAUAUGUGUAGUAACUGUGCACAUCUUGACGGUACCUAAUCAGAAAGCCACGGCUAACUACGUG
rnacentral:rRNA from 1 species